rnacentral:rRNA from 1 species
AUUGAACGCUGGCGGCAGGCCUAACACAUGCAAGUCGGGCGAGAGGCGGACGGGUGAGUAAUGUAUGGGGAUCUGCCUGAUGGCGGGGGAUAACUACUGGAAACGGUAGCUAAUACCGCAUACCAUCAGAUGAACCCAUAUGGGAUUAGCUAGUAGGUGGGGUAAAGGCUCACCUAGGCGACGAUAUCUAGCUGGUCUGAGAGGAUGAUCAGCCAAACUGGGACUGAGACACGGCCCAGACUCCUACGGUAGGCAGCAGGGGGGAAUAUUGCAGAAUGGGCGCAAGCCUGAUGCAGCUAUGCAGCGUGUAUGAAGAAGGCCUUAGGGUUGUAAAGUACUUUCAGCGGGGAGGCGUUACCCGCAGAAGAAGCACCGGCUAACUCCGUGCCAGCCGCCGCGGUAAUUC